rnacentral:rRNA from 1 species
UGAAAAGCCCCCGGCUUAACCGGGGAGGGUCAUUUGGAAACUGGGGAACUUUGAGUGCAGAAGAGGAGAGUGGAAUUCCACGUGUAGCGGUGAAAUGCGUAGAGAUGUGGAGGAACACCAGUGGCGAAGGCGACUCUCUGGUCUGUAACUGACGCUGAGGAGCGAAAGCGUGGGGAGCGAACAGGAUUAGAUACCCUGGUAGUCCACGCCGUAAACGAUGAGUGCUAAGUGUUAGGGGGUUUCCGCCCCUUAGUGCUGCAGCUAACGCAUUAAGCACUCCGCCUGGGGAGUACGGUCGCAAGACUGAAACUCAAAGGAAUUGACGGGGGCCCGCACAAGCGGUGGAGCAUGUGGUUUAAUUCGAAGCAACGCGAAGAACCUUACCAGGUCUUGACAUCCUCUGACAAUCCUAGAGAUAGGACGUCCCCUUCGGGGGCAGAGUGACAGGUGGUGCAUGGUUGUCGUCAGCUCGUGUCGUGAGAUGUUGGGUUAAGUCCCGCAACGAGCGCAACCCUUGAUCUUAGUUGCCAGCAUUCAGUUGGGCACUCUAAGGUGACUGCCGGUGACAAACCGGAGGAAGGUGGGGAUGACGUCAAAUCAUCAUGCCCCUUAUGACCUGGGCUACACACGUGCUACAAUGGACAGAAC